CUCGUUUCUAAUUGGUCAGAAAGCACCGGCUAAUUUUCAGUAUUCGGCAUUUAUUACGUAUUUUCCGCCGAUGACGUCAUCAGCGUCCAAUAUUUGUUUUUUUGGAUCGAACUUGCAUCCAAAAAAAAAAAUUAUUGGACUCUCUCGUGCCCAAACCCUUGCGCGGCCAAAAGCUUGAACCUAUAAGCGCGGGAAAAAAAACAAACAAUGGCCUACAGCAGAUUUGCUUCGCUGAAUGAA